CAGCAGCCGCGAAUACGAGGGUGCAAGCGUUGUUCGGAAUUACUGGGCGUAAAGCGCAUGCAGGUGGCUGAGUAAGUCGAAUGUGUGAGCCCCGGGCUCAACUCGGGAAAUGCAUCCGAAACUGCUCAGCUAGAGUCCCGGAGGGGAGGGCAGAAUUCGCAAUGUAGGGGUGAAAUCCGUAGAUAUUGAUAGGAAUA
rnacentral:rRNA from 1 species